AACUAUAUUGUGCAGAGAAAGAGAAAAAGAGGGAGAAGAAAACCCCAAUCCAUUCCAAAAUGUUUCGUUCCUAAAACCACAACCCUAACAAAAUCACAAAAUCCUCAAUCCAUUCCAAAUGUUUCGUUCCUCUGUUGUUCUUCAAUCCAUUCGAUGAUGACGCGCGUUUCUUUAUUGAGAUUCGAUCUCAAUCUCUGCUUGCUAAUGAGCUUCGAUUUUUUCUUCUCGUGAUCAUGUGCUUCGAUCUUCUCUGCUCGUCAAUAUGCUUCGAUCCUCUGCUCCUCUCCUCGUUGAGUUUCGAUUCUCUACUCGUUGAGAUUCGAUCAUCUGCUUGUUGAGCUUCGAUCCUCUACUUCUCUUUUCGUCGAGCUUCGAUCCUCUCUGCUCGCGUUCAUCACCACCAGUCACUGUUCGAUUAUCACUGCUCGUGUUUUUGGUGAGAUUCUCGUUUUUGGCAUUCUUCUGUAGGGGAAGUAUUGUAUGGUGGUUGUGAUGAUGUUGGUGUUGGAGCAGCAGCACUAUAGGGAGGGUGGGAAAGUGGUGAUGGUAUUUUUGGAGGGUUUGGGUGAUGGUUGUUGUGGGUAGCAGGCGAAGGAGCUUGAGAAAUUGGUGAUGGAACAUAUGGAGGAUUAGGUCAUGGUUGUUAUGAGCAGGGGAAGGAGCCUGUGGUGGAGUUGGAGUAUGAUAAGGUGGUUGAGAAAUUGGUGUUGGUACAUAUGGAGAAGGUGAUGAUCUUGGUGUUC